UCUUGAGAGCGGCGGACGGGUGAGUAAAGCCUAGGAAUCUGCCUGGUAGUGGGGGAUAACGUUCGGAAACGGACGCUAAUACCGCAUACGUCCUACGGGAGAAAGCAGGGGACCUUCGGGCCUUGCGCUAUCAGAUGAGCCUAGGUCGGAUUAGCUAGUUGGUGAGGUAAUGGCUCACCAAGGCGACGAUCCGUAACUGGUCUGAGAGGAUGAUCAGUCACACUGGAACUGAGACACGGUCCAGACUCCUACGGGAGGCAGCAGUGGGGAAUAUUGGACAAUGGGCG
rnacentral:rRNA from 1 species